GCGAGCGUGGUGGAAUUGGCAGACACGCUAGACUUAGGAUCUAGAGCCGUGAGGCGUGGGGGUUCAAAUCCCCCCGCUCGCAC
rnacentral:tRNA from 1 species